rnacentral:rRNA from 1 species
CAUACGGCUCAGUAACACGUGGCUAACCCACCCUCGGGACGGAGACAACCCCGGGAAACUGGGACCAAUCCCCGAUAGGCGAGGACUCCUGGAACGGGUCCUCACUCAAAGGGUGUUGGGAUCAUGCUUCUCAACGUCGCCCGAGGACGGGGCCGCGACCGAUCAGGUAGUUGGCGAGGCAAUGGCUCACCAAGCCUAUAACCGGUACGGGCCGUGGGAGCGGGAGCCCGGAGAUGGGCACUGAGACAAGGGCCCAGGCCCUACGGGGCGCAGCAGUCGCGCAAACUCUGCAAUGCACGAAAGUGUGACAGGGCUACCCCGAGUGCCGUCCGCUGAGGAUGGCUUUUCUCCACUGUAAGGAGGCGGAGGAAUAAGGAGAGGGCAAGUCUGGUGUCAGCCGCCGCGGUAAUACCAGCUCUCCGAGUGGUAGGGAUGAUUAUUGGGCUUGAAGCGUUCGUAGCCGGCCUCUCAAGUCUUUCGUUAAAUCCAGCGAUUCAAUCGUUGGACUGCGGGAGAUACUGUUAGGCUAGGGGGCGGGAGAAGCCGACGGUAUUUUCGGGGUAGGGGUAAAAUCCUAUAAUCCCGGGAAGACCACCAGUGGCGUAGGCGGUCGGCUAGCACGCGCUCGACGGUGAGGGACGAAAGCUGGGGGAGCGAACCC